AGCUUUUGUCCAUGUCCUGGGGAACUUGGAAGAGAUACAUCUCUCAUCUGCCUUCAGGACAGCCCAGUGUGUGCAGAUAAAGCACCGUGAAGGGAGUUAGAAAGACUGGGCACGGUCAGUGGGUACCAGUUCGUCCCUGCUCACCUGGUACCACACGAGCUCCAGGCUUUGAGGAGCCUCUGAAAUCCAGUAGCAUUCUUGGCAUUUGCUGAUCUCUGGUUCUCUUCUUGCCAUUGAAAUCCCAAUUUUUCUUGUUCAG